rnacentral:rRNA from 1 species
GGCUUGUUGUUUAAUUUAUAUUAGGUCUUACCUGCUCAAUGAUAUAAAUAUAUUAAAUAGCCGCAGUAUACUGACUGUGCAAAGGUAGCAUAAUCAUUUGUCUUUUAAUUGGAGACUUGUAUGAAUGGUUUGAUGAAAUAUUAACUUUCUUUAUAUAAAAUUUAAAAAAUUAAUUUUUUAGUUAAAAAGCUGAAAUGAUUUUAAGGGACGAGAAGACCCUAUAGAAUUUUAUACUUUAUAUUAUAAUAAUUUUUUGGUUAUUUUUUAAUUUUAUUUUUAAAAGUAUUUUGUUGGGGUGACAGGGAAAUUUAUUUAACUUUCUUUAUUUAUAUUUUAUUUAUUAAUAUAUAAAUGAUCCUAUUUUAUGGAUUAUAAGACUAAAUUACCUUAGGGAUAACAGCGUAAUUUUCUUGGAGAGUUCUUAUCGAUAAGAGAGUUUGCGACCUCGAUGUUGGAUUAAAAUAAGUAUUGGGUGUAGGAGCUUAAUUACUAGGUCUGUUCGACCUUUAAUAUUUUACA